rnacentral:rRNA from 1 species
GACGAACGCUGGCGGCGUGCUUAACACAUGCAAGUCGAACGAUGAAGCCUAGCUUGCUAGGUGGAUUAGUGGCGAACGGGUGAGUAAUACGUGAGUGACCUACCUUUGACUCUGGGAUAAGCCUGGGAAACUGGGUCUAAUACCGGAUACGACCAAUCUCCGCAUGGGGUGUUGGUGGAAAGCGUUAUGGAGUGGUUUUAGAUGGGCUCACGGCCUAUCAGCUUGUUGGUGAGGUCAUGGCUUACCAAGGCGACGACGGGUAGCCGGCCUGAGAGGGUGACCGGCCACACUGGGACUGAGACACGGCCCAGACUCCUACGGGAGGCAGCAGUGGGGAAUAUUGCACAAUGGGCGCAAGCCUGAUGCAGCGACGCCGCGUGAGGGAUGACGGCCUUCGGGUUGUAAACCUCUGUUAGCAUCGAAGAAGCGAAAGUGACGGUAGGUGCAGAGAAAGCGCCGGCUAACUACGUG